GGGCUUAUCCAAACAGGCAUGAUUCCACAGUCAUGCUGUGGCUGAGAGGUGGUCACUGCAGCAUAUCUGUGGUAUGGGGGUCAGUUUGAUGUCCAUAGGGAGGUGGUCACCGUGAGGUGGUUGCAUAAGGCAGAUACCUGACAAUAACCAUUUUUUCUUUUUUUAUAAACCACGUCUUUUUAGGAUCUUCCUAACUCUAUGACAACUGUCCACUUUUCUUCUGGUUUCAUACAUCUUUUAUAGAAGAGAACAGGCUUUAUCUACCAAGAAAUGAAUUGGAUAAUCUCCACAAGCAAGAAACGUGGAAAAUUUACCAUCUAGACUUUGGAGCACAUUUCAAGAGAAAUGGCCUAAUUAUGUUAUAGCUGGUAGCUGAUUAAGCAUAGUUCCCCUUCUAGGAUAGAAUGAUAUUACAUAUUUAUAUCUACUGCAUAUUUAUACCUUAUGUAUUUCCUUGCUACAUAUUUGUAGCUUAUAUAUUUCCUUGCUGGCAUACCUAUAUUAAUAUAUAUGUAUGUAAGUUCUUCAGAAAACUAUUAAAUAUGAACAGGUAAAAUGUCA